rnacentral:rRNA from 1 species
AGUAACGGCGAGUGAAGCGGCAACAGCUCAAAUUUGAAAUCUGGCCUCUUUCGGGGUCCGAGUUGUAAUUUGUAGAGGAUGUUUUGGGUACCGCGCUGGUUUAAAUUUCUUGGAACAGAAUGUCAGAGAGGGUGAGAAUCCCGUCUUGGACCGGCGUAGGGCCCGUGUAAAACUCCUUCGCCGAGUCGAGUUGUUUGGGA